rnacentral:rRNA from 1 species
UACGGGAAGGACAAGCGUUGUUCGGAAUUACUGGGCGUAAAGGGCUCGUAGGCGACCGCACAAAUCCGACGUGAAAUCCCACGGCUCAACCGUGGAACUGCGUCGGAAACUAGAUGGCUUGAAUCCAAGAGAGGGAUGCGGAAUUCCAGAUGUAGCGGUGAAAUGCGUAGAUAUCUGGAGGAACACCGGUGGCGAAGGCGGCAUCCUGGAUUGGUAUUGACGCUGAGGAGCGAAAGCCAAAGGAGCAAAC